rnacentral:snoRNA from 1 species
CACCCUUUUCCAUACCAGCAAAUCUGUCUAAGUCAGAUGGGGAAGAGACAAAGCACUUCCCUCUAGCAAAGGACUUUGAGAUUUCUGCUAGCCUGCCUGAAGAGCUGACAAA